GACGAACGCUGGCGGCGUGCUUAACACAUGCAAGUCGAACGGAAAGGCCCUGCUUUUGUGGGGUGCUCGAGUGGCGAACGGGUGAGUAACACGUGAGUAACCUGCCCUUGACUUUGGGAUAACUUCAGGAAACUGGGGCUAAUACCGGAUAGGAGCUCCUGCUGCAUGGUGGGGGUUGGAAAGUUUCGGCGGUUGGGGAUGGACUCGCGGCUUAUCAGCUUGUUGGUGGGGUAGUGGCUUACCAAGGCUUUGACGGGUAGCCGGCCUGAGAGGGUGACCGGCCACAUUGGGACUGAGAUACGGCCCAGACUCCUACGGGAGGCAGCAGUGGGGAAUAUUGCACAAUGGGCGGAAGCCUGAUGCAGCAACGCCGCGUGCGGGAUGACGGCCUUCGGGUUGUAAACCGCUUUCGCCUGUGACGAAGCGUGAGUGACGGUAAUGGGUAAAGAAGCACCGGCUAACUACGUGCCAGCAGCCGCGGUGAUACGUAGGGUGCGAGCGUUGUCCGGAUUUAUUGGGCGUAAAGGGCUCGUAGGUGGUUGAUCGCGUCGGAAGUGUAAUCUUGGGGCUUAACCCUGAGCGUGCUUUCGAUACGGGUUGACUUGAGGAAGGUAGGGGAGAAUGGAAUUCCUGGUGGAGCGGUGGAAUGCGCAGAUAUCAGGAGGAACACCAGUGGCGAAGGCGGUUCUCUGGGCCUUUCCUGACGCUGAGGAGCGAAAGCGUGGGGAGCGAACAGGCUUAGAUACCCUGGUAGUCCACGCUGUAAACGGUGGGUACUAGGUGUGGGGUCCAUUCCACGGGUUCCGUGCCGUAGCUAACGCUUUAAGUACCCCGCCUGGGGAGUACGGCCGCAAGGCUAAAACUCAAAGGAAUUGACGGGGCCCCGCACAAGCGGCGGAGCAUGCGGAUUAAUUCGAUGCAACGCGUAGAACCUUACCUGGGUUUGACAUGGAUCGGGAGUGCUCAGAGAUGGGUGUGCCUCUUUUGGGGUCGGUUCACAGGUGGUGCAUGGCUGUCGUCAGCUCGUGUCGUGAGAUGUUGGGUUAAGUCCCGCAACGAGCGCAACCCUUGUUCACUGUUGCCAGCACGUUAUGGUGGGGACUCAGUGGAGACCGCCGGGGUCAACUCGGAGGAAGGUGGGGAUGACGUCAAGUCAUCAUGCCCCUUAUGUCCAGGGCUUCACGCAUGCUACAAUGGCUGGUACAGAGAGUGGCGAGCCUGUGAGGGUGAGCGAAUCUCGGAAAGCCGGUCUCAGUUCGGAUUGGGGUCUGCAACUCGACCUCAUGAAGUCGGAGUCGCUAGUAAUCGCAGAUCAGCAACGCUGCGGUGAAUACGUUCCCGGGGCUUGUACACACCGCCCGUCAAGUCAUGAAAGUUGGUAACACCCGAAGCCGGUGGCCUAACCGUUGUGGGGGAGCCGUCGAAGGUGGGA
rnacentral:rRNA from 1 species